rnacentral:rRNA from 1 species
GAUUCCUCGGGGGGCAGCAGUAGGGAAUAUUGCUCAAUGGGGGAAACCCUGAAGCAGCAACGCCGCGUGGAGGAUGAAGGUUUUCGGAUUGUAAACUCCUUUUGUUAGAGAAGAUAAUGACGGUAUCUAACGAAUAAGCACCGGCUAACUCCGUGCCAGCAGCCGCGGUAAUAUGGAGGGUGCAAGCGUUACUCGGAAUCACUGGGCGUAAAGAGCGCGUAGGCGGGAUAGCAAGUCAGAUGUGAAAUCCGAUGGCUUAACCAUAGAACUGUAUUUGAAACUGUUAUUCUAGAGUAUGGGAGGGG